rnacentral:rRNA from 1 species
GACGAACGCUGGCGGCGUGCUUAACACAUGCAAGUCGAACGGUGAAGCGCCUUCCUUUUUGGUGGGUGUGGAUGAGUGGCGAACGGGUGAGUAACACGUGAGUAACCUGCCCCCUUCUUCUGGAUAACCGCAUGAAAGUGUGGCUAAUACGGGAUAUUCUGGGUCUGUCGCAUGAUGGGUCUGGGAAAGAUAUUGUUUCGGUGGGGGAUGGGAUCGCGGCCUAUCAGCUUGUUGGUGGGGUGAUGGCCUACCAAGGCGGUGACGGGUAGCCGGCCUGAGAGGGUGGACGGUCACACUGGGACUGAGACACGGCCCAGACUCCUACGGGAGGCAGCAGUGGGGAAUAUUGCACAAUGGGCGCAAGCCUGAUGCAGCGACGCCGCGUGAGGGAUGGAGGCCUGCGGGUUGUGAACCUCUUUCGCCAGUGAAGCAGGCCUGCCUCGUUUGUGGGUGGGUUGACGGUAGCUGGAUAAGAAGCGCCGGCUAACUACGUG